rnacentral:rRNA from 1 species
UACGUAGGGGGCAAGCGUUGUCCGGAUUUAUUGGGCGUAAAGAGCGUGUAGGCGGCCUGAAAGGUCAGCUGUGAAAACUCGAGGCUCAACCUCGAGACGUCGGUUGAAACCAUCUGGCUAGAGUCCGGAAGAGGAGUGUGGAAUUCCCGGUGUAGCGGUGAAAUGCGCAGAUAUCGGGAAGAACACCCGUGGCGAAGGCGGCGCUCUGGCCCGAUACUGACGCUGAGGCACGAAAGCGUGGGGAGCAAACAGG